rnacentral:lncRNA from 1 species
GGAAUCUUUGUUUCUGCACAAUAUUUCUAUAUGCUGCCUCUUACCUGGAAGCCCCAUCCUGCUGACCUGUUUUUGUGUCUUGGUUGUGGUCUCACGUCCUGUUUCUGCAUCUCUGCUGAGCCCUUUGAAGAAGAGUUUGAACUUCCCCAUAGACAUUGACAUUGGAUGUCCUUGAUUGUGAGGCCUCCAGCUCCUGCCUGGUCCCAUCCUAUUCUUCGCUGUGUCCUGCUUUGGCUCCCAGGAUCCUAGCCUACGGGCCCUGCUUGCCCAGAUUAAUAGGCAGUGGAAGCGAAGGGGACUCACCAGCCCCCAGCCACCGACAGUUCCACCCCAGCCGGUGCCACAGGCCAGGGCUGAGCUGCCAAGACUCCUCAGUGUCAAGACACCUUAAGGGUCCAGUGAUCCCUGGAUGAUGUACGAAUGCCUUAUGUAAUAUCUACUAUGGAUUCACUAGCGUUGACCAGCACAGUAGCGGCACUGUAACUCGGGCCUGAAGGAAGCUCACCUAACACAGAGAUUUUCUCCGUAAAAUCAUCACAGCCUUCCUGCACUUACACACUCUAGACAGAACUUCAGCACUACACUUGGGG